UCAGCGGCAAACGGGUGCGUAACGCGUAAGCAACCUGCCCACUACUGGGGGAUAGCCUUGCGAAAGCGGGGGUAAACCCGCAUGGUCCUUUUCCUUCACCUGAGGGGCUAGGUAAACAUUUAUGGGUAGUGGAGGGGCUUGCGUCUGAUUAGCUAGUUGGCGGGGUAAGGGCCCACCAAGGCGACGAUCAGUAGGGGUUCUGAGAGGAUUGGCCCCCACAUGGGUACUGAGACACGGACCCA
rnacentral:rRNA from 1 species